CACGGGGGGAGCAAGCGUUGUUCGGAAUCACUGGGCGUAAAGGGCGUGUGGGCGGUCAAGUAAGUGGAAUGUGAAAUGCCCCGGCUCACCCGGGGACCUGCAUCCCAAACUGCUUGGCUUGAGUAUGGGAGAGGAUGAGGGAAUUCCUGGUGUAGCGGUGAAAUGCGUAGAUAUCUGGAGGAACACCGGUGGCGAAGGCGGCAUCCUGGACCGGCAUUGACGCUGAGGAGCGAAAGCCAGGGGAGCAAACGGG
rnacentral:rRNA from 1 species